UUAACUCAAUGGAUUUGUAUGGAGUUGGAACGUAUGCCUACGUUUGCCGUUAGAGGCGCUGUUCCAAGUGCAUACCAAUUUGAGUUA
rfam:Bombyx mori DNA, contig: Bm_scaf512_contig43560, strain: p50T/Dazao, build 2, whole genome shotgun sequence.